rnacentral:rRNA from 1 species
AAGUCGGUGCGCUAACCGCAAGGAGGCAGCCGCCUAAGGUAAGACCAAUGACUGGGGUGAAGUCGUAACAAGGUAGCCGUAUCGGAAGGUGCGGCUGGAUCACCUCCUUUUAAGGAG